ACUUCACAGGACAGACAGAAAGAGUAUUUGCUAUGACAUCAGUGUGUUAUAAAGUAACUGCUUUGUCACUACAGAAAAAGUCCCCAUGAGAAGUACGGAGUACCACCAGAAUCCAAAGGAGUGGUUAUUGAAUUUGAAAGUCAGAGGGACCUGAUCUGAUGAUUCCAGAGACUUUUUCAAGAGUACAAAAAUAUUAAGUAUCAGAAUUAGAAUAUGAACAAUCCAGGACUUUUGACUACAAACCCAGUUUUUCUUCUACCAUGCCAUGCUACAUCCCCCAUCUGACCCUGGGAAAUCUGUACAAGUUUUGAAAUGAGAAGUAUGACCACCACACCUGGCAGUAAAAUGUACAAGAUCCUCAAGAUUUUCUGAUUCACUAUAAUCAAUUGUUAUGGAGACUGUUCCAAGGGCACUGGGAGAAAAAAUGAAAAAAGAAGAACCAUGCAAAGAAUGUUUUAU